rnacentral:lncRNA from 1 species
GAGGAUAGAAGAACUAUUAGGUGCUUGAUUUCCAUCUUGAUUUGAAGUAUAGUACCGAGUUAUGGGUGUGUGAAGACUCUUUUCAUGUUUUCUAGUUGGGGGAGUGAAGUGGAUUUCAUGUUGUGUUAUGAGUUCAUACCCAGGAAGAUUAAGUGAUUGCGUAAUGUCCAUGACACUGGAAGGGUAUAAAUAGAUUUUAGUUGUGGCGAAUCAGGUGGGUUAUCUCCUGCGGAUUGUUCUGAAGUUUGUGUAAUCCUUUAUGUCAUUUAUUGGAAGAUCUCUGUAACCAGAGAAAUAUAUGUGUUGCAAUUUGAACU